rnacentral:rRNA from 1 species
UACGUAGGGUGCGAGCGUUAAUCGGAAUUACUGGGCGUAAAGCGUGCGCAGGCGGUUCGUUAAGUCAGAUGUGAAAGCCCCGGGCUCAACCUGGGAACUGCAUUUGAAACUGGCGGGCUUGAGUGUGGCAGAGGGGGGUGGAAUUCCGCGUGUGGCAGUGAAAUGCGUAGAGAUGCGGAGGAACACCGAUGGCGAAGGCAGCCCCCUGGGCCAACACUGACGCUCAGGCACGAAAGCGUGGGGAGCAAACAGG